UGGGGAAUACUGGACAAUGGGCGCAAGCCUGAUCCAGCAAUGCCGCGUGUGUGAAGAAGGCCUUCGGGUUGUAAAGCACUUUUAUCAGGAGCGAAACGCUGUCGGCUAAUACCCGGCGGAACUGACGGUACCUGAGGAAUAAGCACCGGCUAACUUCGUGCCAGCAGCCGCGGUAAUACGAAGGGUGCAAGCGUUAAUCGGAAUUACUGGGCGUAAAGCGUGCGUAGGCGGUUUCUUAAGUCUGCUGUGAAAUCCCCGGGCUCAACCUGGGAAUGGCAGUGGAUACUGGGAGGCUAGAGUGUGUCAGAGGGUGGUGGAAUUCCCGGUGUAGCGGUGAAAUGCGUAGAGAUCGGGAGGAACAUCAGUGGCGAAGGCGGCCACCUGGGACAACACUGACGCUGAGGCACGAAAGCGUGGGGAGCAAACAGGAUUAGAUACCCUGGUAGUCCACGCCCUAAACGAUGCGAACUGGAUGUUGGUCUCAACUCGGAGAUCAGUGUCGAAGCUAACGCGUUAAGUUCGCCGCCUGGGGAGUACGGUCGCAAGACUGAAACUCAAAUGAAUUGACGGGGUCAUAGCUGUUUCCUG
rnacentral:rRNA from 1 species